rnacentral:rRNA from 1 species
UACGUAGGGAGCAAGCGUUGUUCGGAUUUACUGGGCGUAAAGGGCUCGUAGGCGGCCAACUAAGUCAGACGUGAAAUCCCUCGGCUUAACCGGGGAACUGCGUCUGAUACUGGAUGGCUUGAGGUUGGGAGAGGGAUGCGGAAUUCCAGGUGUAGCGGUGAAAUGCGUAGAUAUCUGGAGGAACACCGGUGGCGAAGGCGGCAUCCUGGACCAAUUCUGACGCUGAGGAGCGAAAGCCAGGGGAGCAAACAGG